GAUGAACGCUGGCGGCGUGCCUAAUACAUGCAAGUCGAGCGAACAGACGAGGAGCUUGCUCCUCUGACGUUAGCGGCGGACGGGUGAGUAACACGUGGAUAACCUACCUAUAAGACUGGGAUAACUUCGGGAAACCGGAGCUAAUACCGGAUAAUAUAUUGAACCGCAUGGUUCAAUAGUGAAAGACGGUUUUGCUGUCACUUAUAGAUGGAUCCGCGCCGCAUUAGCUAGUUGGUAAGGUAACGGCUUACCAAGGCAACGAUGCGUAGCCGACCUGAGAGGGUGACCGGCCACCCUGGAACUGAGCCACGCCCCACACCCCGAGGGGAGGAGCAGGGAGGGAAUCUUCCGAAAGGGCAGAAGCCUGACAGGGGCACCCCGGCGGGAGUGAUGAAGGUCUCGGUACCGAAAACCUCUUUUAUGGGGGAAGAAAAAUUGUUAAAUAACCUAUGCCCGUUUGGACGGGCCCUAAUAAGAAGGCCCGGGCAAACUCCGUC
rnacentral:rRNA from 1 species